AUUGAACGCUGGCGGAAUGCUUUACACAUGCAAGUCGAACGGCAGCACGGACUUCGGUCUGGUGGCGAGUGGCGAACGGGUGAGUAAUACAUCGGAACGUGCCCAGUCGUGGGGGAUAACGUAGCGAAAGCUACGCUAAUACCGCAUACGAUCUACGGAUGAAAGCGGGGGAUCGCGAGACCUCGCGCGAGUGGAGCGGCCGAUGGCAGAUUAGGGAGUUGGUGGGGUAAAGGCUCACCAAGCCGACGAUCUGUAGCUGGUCUGAGAGGACGACCAGCCACACUGGGACUGAGACACGGCCCAGACUCCUACGGGAGGCAGCAGUGGGGAAUUUUGGACAAUGGGCGCAAGCCUGAUCCAGCCAUUCCGCGUGCAGGAUGAAGGCCCUCGGGCUGUAAACUGCUUUUGUACGGAACGAAAAGGCUCUGGUUAAUACCCGGGGCUCAUGACGGUACCGUAAGAAUAAGCACCGGCUAACUACGUGCCAGCAGCCGCCGUAA
rnacentral:rRNA from 1 species